rnacentral:lncRNA from 1 species
CUCCAUCCCUCUCACCGCAAUAAGCAGGCUAGAUCCUUGAUUAGCCAAAGUAAUAGCAGAUUCUAUCUUACCAUCCCUAUGUACAGCCUGUGAACUUUUGGGACAUUGAGUCCUGGGGCGAAGGUGUGAUGAACAGUGCUUAAAACAGAUAUAUUUGUGUUUUGGUGAGAUGUGAGCAGUUAUUCACCCUGAGGUGGAAGGGAAGGCACCAGAAAAGGAGAGGAAGGUUGGACCCAUAUAGGAGAGUAAGGGGAAGCGAGAAAAUUGAAGUAAAUACAACCAGUAUCACAGAAUCACAGAAUCACAGAAUGACCUGGGUUGGAAGGGACCUCAAGAACAUGAAGCUCCAACCCCCCUGCCUGGCAGGGCCACCAAACUUCCAUGUUUACUAGAUCAGGUUGCUCAGGACCCCAUCCAACCUGGCUUUGAACACCUCCAGGGAUGGGGCAUCCACAAUGUCCCUGGGCAGCCUGUUCCAGGACUUCACCACUCUCCUAGAAAAGAACUUCCCCCUAACAUCCAAUCUAAAUCUUCCCUCUUUCAACUUAAAACUGUUUCCCCUUGUCCUACUAUUAUCGUCCCUUUCAAAGAGUUUACACCCCUCCUGAUUAUAGGUACCCUUCAGGUACUGAAAGGCUGCAAUGAGGUCACCCCGCAGUCUUCUUUUCUCCAGGCUGAACAAGCCCAGCUCCCUCAGACUGUCCUCAUAGGGGAGGUGCUCCAGCCCCUUGACCAUCUUCGGGGCCCUCCUCUGGACCCUCUCCAACUGCUCUAUGUCCUUCUUACUCCUGUACUGAGGACUCCAUACCUGGACACAGUACUCCAGAUGGGGCCUCACAAGAGCAGAGUAGAGAGGGAUAAUCAUAUCCCUAUCCCUGCUUCCCACCCCACUCCUGAUGGAGUCCAGGAUCCCAUUUGCUUUCCGAGCUGCAAGAGCACACUGCUGGCUCAUGUUAAGUUUCUCAUCUAUCAGGACCCCCAGGUCCUUCUCUGCCUAGCUACUCUCAAGGACAAGUAUCACUGUGUGGCAGUUUAGAACCUGAAUCUAACAAACACUGCUAGUAUUCAGUUACUU